rnacentral:rRNA from 1 species
AGAGGGUGAAAGCCCCGUACGUGAAAGCAGAGCUGACUGAGCAGGAUCCGGAGUACCACGAGACACGAGGAACCUUGUGGGAAGUAAGGGGGACCACCCCCUAAGGCUAAAUACUACUUAGUGACCGAUAGCGCAUAGUACUGUGAAGGAAAGGUGAAAAGGACCCCGGGAGGGGAGUGAAAGAGAACCUGAAACCCUGUGUCUACAAGCUGUGGAAGUACUUUAUAUGUACGACCGCGUACUUUUUGUAGAACGGUCCGGCGAGUUACGCUUACUGGCAAGGUUAAGCACUUCAGGUGUGGAGCCGUAGGGAAACCAAGUCUUAAUAGGGCCAGAGUCAGUAGGAGUAGACCCGAAACCGGGUGAUCUAUCCAUGUCCAGGUUGAAGCUGCCGUAAGAGGUAGUGGAGGACCGAACCCACAUCCGUUGAAAAGGGUGGGGAUGAGGUGUGGAUAGGGGAGAAAUUCCAAUCGAACCCGGAGAUAGCUGGUUCUCCUCGAAAUAGCUUUAGGGCUAGCCUCGGUGUGAGUCUUGCGGAGGUAGAGCACUGAAUUUCCUAGGGGGCGUCAAAGCCUACCGAAGAAUAUCAAACUCCGAAUGCCGUGUAGAUAUCACCGGGAGUCAGACUGCACGAGAUAAGUUGGGCGGUCAAAAGGGAAAGAGCCCAGACCUACAGUUAAGGUCCCAAAGUGCGCGUUAAGUGGAAAAGGAUGUGGGAUUUCGAAGACAACCAGGAUGUUGGCUCAGAAGCAGCCAUACAUUCAAAGAGUGCGUAAUAGCUCACUGGUCGAGAGGUCCUGCGCCGAAAAUGUCCGGGGCUGAAACGCGCCACCGAAACUAAGGAAUCUGAAAAGAUUGGUAGAGGAGCAUUGCAUGCGGGAAGAAGCAGUACCGGAAGGAGCUGUGGACUGCAUGGAAGAGAGAAUGCCGGAAUGAGUAGCGAGAUAGAGGUGGGAAUCCUCUAGGCCGAAUAUCCAAGGUUUCCAGGGUAAAGCUGAUCUGCCCUGGGUGAGUCGGGACCUAAGGUGAGGGCGAGAGCCGUAGCCGAUGGACAACAGGUUGAUAUUCCUGUACUGCAGUAUGACAGAACUGUGGGGACACGUAAGGAGAGCGGGAGCCGGGAAUGGAAAGCCCGGUACAAGCGAGGUACCAGU